rnacentral:ncRNA from 1 species
CUAUUAGAAAGCGCGCAAUGAAAAGGGAAUCAGGUGAGAAUCCUGAACAGACGGAGCUGCUGUAUGCUUCCACAUUCAAUCCCAUCGCCCGUUCACUGCCCUGCUGAGGGUGGGAAGGACAGCGAGCCAACGGGGGAAGCGAGUCAGAAGACCUGCCAAAUUUAG